GUAGGGAAUAUUGGACAAUGGACGCAAGUCUGAUCCAGCCAUGCCGCGUGAAGGAUUAAGGUCCUCUGGAUUGUAAACUUCUUUUAUAAGGGACGAAAAAAGGCUUUUCUAAGUCGUCUGACGGUACCUUAUGAAUAAGCACCGGCUAACUCCGUGCCAGCAGCCGCGGUAAUACGGAGGGUGCAAGCGUUAUCCGGAUUCACUGGGUUUAAAGGGUGCGUAGGCGGGCAGGUAAGUCAGUGGUGAAAUCCUAGAGCUUAACUCUAGAACUGCCAUUGAUACUAUCUGUCUUGAAUAUUGUGGAGGUAAGCGGAAUAUGUCAUGUAGCGGUGAAAUGCUUAGAUAUGACAUAGAACACCUAUUGCGAAGGCAGCUUACUACGCAUAUAUUGACGCUGAGGCACGAAAGCGUGGGGAUCAAACAGGAUUAGAUACCCCAGUAGUCC
rnacentral:rRNA from 1 species